rnacentral:lncRNA from 1 species
UAUGAUUUUACUUAGCCAAUUUUUUAGGGUACUAUUAUUACAAAAUACUUAAGGUUAUCACCACUUUCCAUUCAAACUUUUAAUACACUUAAGUUUUUAUGUCAUCAAGACAUAACUAAAACAACAAAAUUAGGCAGGAUAACAACUCUUAUAUCUUAUGGUAAGGGAUCUAGAUUCUGGAACUGUUUACAAAUAAGUAAGUGAUUUGGGGACUAUUGUAAAUUUGAAUUAUGACACAUUCAUUGUAAAUUGCUAUAAUAAAGUUGAACCGUAAUAAAUAAACCUGAAGAGACAGGGGAAAAUUUGAAUGAUUAAAUAUUUGAAGUAAACAAGGUGUGAAUUAUUGAUAGUUAAUAUCGCCAACUUUGAAUGGUGCAGGGCCCAAGAAGGUUACUAAACUUAUCCAGAUUGUGUUGCUAGUCUUGACUAUUUUUUUGUUAUUUAAUUAUUUGUCUUAUCUAAACAUCAUACAUACAGUAUAUGGCCAUCAUGCACAGAACAGCAAUAAGGAAAAAAACUUUAUUGUAUACUAAAAUACUAGAUAAGGAAUCACAUUCAUAAACGCAUACAAUAAGAAAUCACAAAACACUGUACAAUGUAGUAUACAGUGGUGGGGUCAGAUUCAUAUCACGUCAUGAAAGUUUUCAUGGAAAUUACUGGCUUGCCUAACAGUGCAGUUGCUAUAUGUAGUAAACAGGAGAAUAUACAGCCAGUGGCAAGAGGUGGGGUCAGAUUCAUAUCACGUCAUGAAAGUUUUCAUGGAAAUUACUGGCUUGCCUAACAGUGCAGUUGUUAUACUUUUAUUUAUUCACGUGCCUUAUCUUAAUCUUCCAGUUAUAGUGUUCUUUGAUUGGCAAAAAACCACAAAACCAGUGUAUUGUUAAAUUUGUGAUAUGUGCAGAAAAUAAAUAAUGAAUGAAAACAGAGUGAGCCGAUGGUGUUUUAUUUGAAAAUUUGUGAAGUUACCUGAUGAUGGAAAGGCCUCGCAAGAAUAAAAGUGAUAUUGGAAAUGUGUAUUAAUUUACCAAUGAUAUUAAAUUAAGAAUGUAUGUUUAAAAUCUAAACCAUGAAAUGUGGUUUUAUUAUUUGGAACUCUGCUACAGUUAUACAACUUUGUUUAGUGCUAUAAUUUUUGUUAAUUGAGAAAAUGGUUACAACAAAUAUUAUUAAAAGCAAGUAAAAGUUAUAUUAUUAAACUUACAGAACAAAUCUAUGCUUUAGAAAUAGUACAUAAAAUCACAUGUAAACAUUUUUAUUUUAGAAAUCUAAAAUCUAUUAGUAACAUAUAAAUGAACAAAAAUACAGUACAUCAUUAAGCAUAGUACAGUAAUAACUUUUCAUAAUCAUAAAUCUGAAAAAAUAAAACAUUUGGCAAGUACCUUCAAUUACAACAUAUACCUUCAUUUGAAAUAAAAAUAAAAAUUGAAUACAUGUAUUUUUAAUGGUUUCUUUAUUUUACACAUACUUGCUUUAAUCCAGGCUCACCAAUAGAAUGAUGUUAUUUAAUUUUUUUAGAAAUUUAACCCUUUUAGGACAACUCAGGUUUUAGAUUUUUAAUGCUAUGAAGACUGUCCAGUUCUUUAUUUGAUGUUUGUUUUUGACAAUGGAAGGAUUGUGACGAAAACAUGAUUUUUUUCUAGAAAUUUGCCAUUGUUCAGUGAUA